GUGCUUACUUAGGCAGCAUAUGUACUAAAACAUUAGAAUGAUACAGAGAUUAGCAUGGCCCUGCACAAGGAUGGCACACAGAUUUGUGAAAAAAUUAGUGCUAGA
rnacentral:snRNA from 1 species